CAAGAUAGCAAUCAGCAACAGUGCCAAACAAGGUGCAUGCAGCAGCUUGAGCAGGGAGAACUAGAACUAGACAUGAACCCAUCAACAGAUCCCGAACAAAGACUUGAACGGUGCCAACAGAGUUGUCGAUCGAUGCAACAAGGCCACCAGCAACAGAUGCAGUGCCGCCGACAAUGCGCACAGCAAUUGAGCCAGCGAGAGCGUCAACAAAUCUGCCAACAACGUUGUCAGAUGCAAGAUAGCAAUCAACAACAGUGCCAAACAAGGUGCAUGCAGCAGCUAGAGCAAGGAGAACUAGAACUAGACAUGAACCCAUCAAGAGAUCCCGAACAAAGACUUGAGCAAUGCCAACAGGGUUGCCAGUCAAUGCAACGUCGCCAACAGCAAAUGCAGUGCCGCCGACAAUGUGCACAGCAAUUGAGCCAACGAGAGCGUCAACAAAUCU